rnacentral:lncRNA from 1 species
AAUGUUCCUUCACUUGUUUUAAGGGCUACAGAAAGGUUCUGGGAGUAGAAAAUCAAAAGUUAAUGAAGCAAAUAUGAGAUGAAAUUUAAGACAUAUUUGAUAGUACUGGAGGAUAGACUCUGAAAAGAGAAUUAGAAGUAGAAGAGAAGGUAUAACUAAUUGUAUAGGAGAGAUCUAUUGGAGGCAAGGUAAAUUAAUGAAGCAAAUAUGAGAUGAAAUUGAAGACAUAUUUGAUAGGACUGGAGGAUAGACUCUGAAAAGAGAAUUAGAAGUAGAAGAGAAGGUAUAACUAAUUGUAUAGGAGAGAUCUAUUGGAAGCAAGGUAAAUUAGUUGAAUUGAAAAUAAAAU